CGUAAGCAACCUGCCUAUUAGAGGGGAAUAACAGUGAGAAAUCAUUGCUAAUACCGCAUAUGCUGUGAGUAUCGCAUGAUACAAACAGGAAAGGAGCAAUCCGCUAAUAGAUGGGCUUGCGUCUGAUUAGAUAGUUGGUGGGGUAACGGCCUACCAAGUCAACGAUCAGUAGCCGAACUGAGAGGUUGAACGGCCACAUUGGGACUGAGAUACGGCCCAGACUCCUACGGGAGGCAGCAG
rnacentral:rRNA from 1 species